CCAGCUUUCAACCAGCAUACAGCGCCUCAGGAUUCUCUGGGUUCCGUGGACUAACCGUCUCUGACCCCAAAAUGAAGAUUCUCAGACACCGGGCUCCUCCUGGCUGGGAAACAACAGAGAUUCACCAUGAAAACUGCCACGGGGGUCAGGACCUGAGGACCUAGAGGUGGAAAUAUUCCCAGAGAGGAUUUUUGGACAUAGAAUAAGG